rnacentral:rRNA from 1 species
AUAAAUGCUUAUUCUAGUCUCAUUUCAGAUGCUAAGCAGGGUUAGGCCUGGGUAGUUCUUGGACAAGAGAUCGCUUGGAACCACAGGGUGCUGUAUAUU